rnacentral:lncRNA from 1 species
ACCUCACGGGUGACUCAGUCCUUCAACAACUGCUUACAGGGAAAACACCAAUGAAGGAACUUUAAACGGCCUAGGUAAAUGGGUUAACAGCAAAGGAAAUAUUACAAAAUAUAUUUCGCUGAAGGCAAACAGGAUCAUUAGAAAGGGCAAACAACCAGCCACCGAGAAAUGAAACUGUCAAAAAACCCAACAUACUCAAUCCAGAGGAGCCAACUUUCAGAUCAGUUUUCUGUUGACUUAAAGGUGCUACUGCAAAAACCUAGACCAGCACCCAAUACCCACUUUGCUGCCAGACUUUUGAAGUCUGGGAAUUGGCAGCUGAAGGAAACGUAAGCCUCUUCUCCUGGUUUAACACCAGAGGGAAAACAUGAGGGAGAUAAGGAGGCUGUCUAUUAAUUAACCAGCCCUGUUUUACCACGCUGAACUUUGGGUAGCAGCCAUUAAUCAGUCCUACAUAGCGCCGGGCAAGGAACUGCAAUCACCCUGGAAAAUACAUCUGAAACGAGAAGGAAAGAUAGAGAGGGCAAACCAGGGCUGUGCAGAGGGGAUUCUGGAAAGGAAACCAGAGCCCUUCUGCCCCACCCUAAACAAGAUGAAGGACGAGAAGGUAGGCGAUCCCCAGAGACCUCUGGCUACAACCGCUGUCAGCACAGCUGGUAUCUUCCAGGGGAACAGGUACAAGAAGGCUCUGACACCGACAGAAGCCUCCUCUUCAGAGACACAAUCUGCUUCCCUGUGUCCCAACAACAAACUGCCAGAAAAGCAACGUUAGAGCAACACUUCUCCCAGAGAGGACAGAAGAUAAGUGACAAUAAAUAAAGGGGAUUUCUUAAAAUUAAGGCAGCAAGACACUGGUGCCAUUUCGAUGACGUUUCCUCCAACACACUGAAGUACACAAAUUAGUUUCCAAUUUUUUUUUUUAAUUAAAAAGGGU